GUCCACGCCCUAAACGAUGUCAACUAGUUGUUGGGGCCCGUUACCGGCCUUAGUAACGCAGCUAACGCGUGAAGUUGACCGCCUGGGGAGUACGGUCGCAAGAUUAAAACUCAAAGGAAAUUGACGGGGGCCCGGCACAAGCGGUGGAUGAUGUGGAUUUAAUUCGAUGCAACGCGAAAAACCUUACCUACCCUUGACAUGUACGGAAUCCGAUGAAAGUUGGAUUGUGCUCGAAAAGUAGAACCGUAACACAGGUGCUGCAUGGCUGUCGU
rnacentral:rRNA from 1 species